rfam:Apaloderma vittatum contig67, whole genome shotgun sequence.
GGACCUGUUAGCUCAGUCAGUUGAGCAUGAUGCUGAUAACACCAAGGUCGCGGGUUUGAUUCCCAUUCGGUCCC